rnacentral:lncRNA from 1 species
CACUUGAUAAGAGUAGGGGUCUUGCCUGCCUUAUCCACUGCAUAGCUCCAGUCAAGAGAAGUCAUUGCCACGGAAAAGGCACCCAACAAACAUGCCUUUAACUUGUUGAAUGAACCCAUCAAAUUCCUGAUAGUGGAAGUUUGGACACUGGAGUCGCAGGUGGGGAAAGAAACCAUGAUGCAAUAGGACCCCAAUUACACGUGGGUUCUGCUUAUGUUAGAAAAGCUUCCUGACUUUGUGUGCAGUCAAGUCCUGUGGCUUGUGGCCAAGGGAGGAUCUUUUCUUUUUUACCCAUGGAAGAUGACAUUGGUAUGUUGGAGUAAUGAUCCAGAAGAUAAACAUGAAUACAGACAAAUUCUGAAUUUGGAUUCAAAUAACAAGUUGCACAAAAACAAGGUACUCAGUUAUUUCUGAGUAUUGCUCUGUGCGUGGCACUGUGCUGUACAUUGAGGAUAUGAAGAUGAGUAAGUCUCAGUCUAUAUCUUUAGAGACCUCACAGCCUGGAAAGAGAGUUAAAAAAUAAUUACUAUUCAACAUGGCAAUGGUUAUAAAGGAGCAGAUUUUCCAAACUGGUGUUUCAAGGAACAUUCUUUGGCAGGAUGUUAAAAACAGGAAACAGCAAGCCUGAAAAAGGAAAUUGACGAAGAAACAAUUUGGUUAUUCUUGACUCAGUGGCCAAGGAGGGAACACAGAUGCAAGGAAGACUGGGAAAUGCAGUAUACAGCUGGAGACAUCAUUGCCCUAAAUAAAAAUAGGACUCUUACCAAGAAGGGAGAGGAGAAUGGAUAUUGGGUGGCAUCACAGUCUCUCACACCUGAGCAUCUGAUUCUGUCAGAAGUUAAAUGAUGACCUCUCCUGUGGAUCCCUGGGUUCUUAUGAAGCAUGAGUAUAAUACAAGAUGUCAACAGGUAUUGCAAAGAUACUUAUGGAGCACCCCCAUGUUUGAGGAGCUGUGCGAGGCCUUGGAGUUGAAGCCGUGAGUAGAAAGACAAAGGCUCGGGCUCAGGAGCUUAUAUUCUAGUGAGAAGAGUGACAAUGAAGAUGCAGCUGCCAGGAUCUACCACAACCUGUACAGGAUGUUUUGGGACAGCGACUUGGAGCAGCAUUUGGUGGGAGAGGACGGAAGCUGUGAGACGUCAGCUCUGAGCCCUGAGUCCAGGGCUGGUCCUGUGGAGACAGGGGUUGCUAUGUCAUGAGCAGUGUGUGUGUGAGUAUGAGGUGUGGGAGGAAAGGUAGUAAGAAGCUGAGAAAAUGCCUCAAGCUGACCUCUCCCAAGGGAGUUGGAGCCAUGAGUACCUGGGCACCCUGAGGUGAACACUCCUUGCUCUGUGGGUCUCUAGUAUCUAACAAUAAGACCCCACCUGCACCUAUUGAUACACCUCAGGGUGAGAGGCAAAGAAACAUCACUGGGAAACUACAGACACGCAAUCAGGACUUUUCUCUAAUGUAAAGAGAACUUAGGGUCAGGAUUCAGGGAUCAAAUCUAGCUUCCUUGUUUGGCCUCUCUGAGUCUUUGUCCCUUUGCCUCUAAAACUGAGUAUUUCCUUGCCUUAUCUGAGCUUAUGUAAGGGCUAAAUGGGACAUGCUAUACCAAAAACAAUUUAUGGAGACCCAGUUCACUAUAAGAGUACAAUGCAUUCAUCUUCUUCAUCUUUGUAACUUUCGCUACUCCUUUCUGUUUAAAUUGAAACAGAUCUGGAGGCUUGUUUUCUAGAGGAACAACAAUGAAAAAAACAAGCAACAGGGAAAGUAGUCUUUGGUUAGUGAGUAUUCAGGAAAUUUCGGGGCAAAACAAGGAAGGUGAUUGGAACCCUAAUAAGAUCGCUUCCAGCAUAAGGAUGACAGUGAUGGCAGAGAGGAGACUUCAUACUUGGACAUAGCUUUGUGAGCUCCUAAAGAAGCCCAGCUCAUAGUCUGCCCUUCCAGAUAGCCUGCUGAAGGAACAGUGAAGUUUGGAGCUGAAACAGCUUCCUGAGCAGAAAUCUAGUUCAUUUCCCCAUGCUCAGGAGAGUGGCUUAGAAGCCACCAUCUCUGCCUUUUUUUCCUGUUGCUGUCUGUGGCUGACUGUGGCAGGUGGGAAGCUCUGGGAGCUCCAGCUCUGUCCUCUGUCCUUGCAGACACCCAGGGUGGGUGACCACAGCCUAUGAAGUAAGCCAGUCCUUAAUCCAUGGAGCACAUGCCCAGAUACAGGGACAUGGUGCCAUAAUGGACACUCCAAAAUGCCUACUCCCCAUGGUUGGACCAUGUCCAGAUGACGUUUUUUUUUUUUGUUGUUGUUUGUUUGU